rnacentral:rRNA from 1 species
AUAUUCUGUGAGCAGGAAAGCAGGGGAUCGCAAGACCUUGCGCUGAUUGAGCGGCCGAUAUCAGAUUAGCUUGUUGGUGAGGUAAAAGCUCACCAAGGCGACGAUCUGUAGCGGGUCUGAGAGGAUGAUCCGCCACACUGGAACUGAGACACGGUCCAGACUCCUACGGGAGGCAGCAGUGGGGAAUUUUGGACAAUGGGGGCAACCCUGAUCCAGCCAUGCCGCGUGAGUGAAGAAGGCCUUCGGGUUGUAAAGCUCUUUCAGCCGGGAAGAAAACGCAUGGGUUAAUACCCUGUGUGGAUGACGGUACCGGAAUAAGAAGCACCGGCUAACUACGUGCCAGCAGCCGCGGUAAUACGUAGGGUGCGAGCGUUAAUCGGAAUUACUGGGCGUAAAGCGUGCGCAGGCGGUUUUGUAAGACAGGCGUGAAAUCCCCGGGCUUAACCUGGGAACUGCGUUUGUGACUGCAAGGCUAGAGUACGGCAGAGGGGGGUGGAAUUCCACGUGUAGCAGUGAAAUGCGUAGAGAUGUGGAGGAACACCAAUGGCGAAGGCAGCCCCCUGGGUCGAUACUGACGCUCAUGCACGAAAGCGUGGGUAGCAAACAGGAUUAGAUACCCUGGUAGUCCACGCCCUAAACGAUGUCAACUAGGUGUUGGGAGGGUAAAACCUUUUAGUACCGGAGCUAACGCGUGAAGUUGACCGCCUGGGGAGUACGGCCGCAAGGUUAAAACUCAAAGGAAUUGACGGGGACCCGCACAAGCGGUGGAUGAUGUGGAUUAAUUCGAUGCAACGCGAAAAACCUUACCUACCCUUGACAUGCCAAGAACUUUCCAGAGAUGGAUUGGUGCCCGAAAGGGAACUUGGACACAGGUGCUGCAUGGCUGUCGUCAGCUCGUGUCGUGAGAUGUUGGGUUAAGUCCCGCAACGAGCGCAACCCUUGUCGUUAAUUGCCAUCAUUUAGUUGGGCACUUUAACGAGACUGCCGGUGACAAACCGGAGGAAGGUGGGGAUGACGUCAAGUCCUCAUGGCCCUUAUGGGUAGGGCUUCACACGUCAUACAAUGGUCGGUACAAAGGGUCGCCAAGCCGCGAGGUGGAGCUAAUCCCAGAAAGCCGAUCGUAGUCCGGAUCGCAGUCUGCAACUCGACUGCGUGAAGUCGGAAUCGCUAGUAAUCGUGGAUCAGAAUGUCACGGUGAAUACGUUCCCGGGUCUUGUACACACCGCCCGUCACACCAUGGGAGCGGGUUCCGCCAGAAGUAGGUAGCCUAACCGCAAGGAGGGCGCUUACCACGGCGGGGUUCGUGACUGGGGUGAAGUCGUAACAAGGUA